GGAGCUAUAGCUCAGUCUGGUUAGAGCAUUGGUCUUAUACGCCAAGGGUCAGCGGUUCAAAUCCGCUUAGCUCCA
rnacentral:tRNA from 1 species